rnacentral:rRNA from 1 species
ACUCAAAUGAAUUGACGGGGACCCGCACAAGCAGUGGAGUAUGUGGUUUAAUUCGACGCAACGCGAAGAACCUUACCAGGACUUGACAUCCUCGGAAUCCGUAUGAAAGUAUGGAGUGCCCUUCGGGGAACCGAGAGACAGGUGGUGCAUGGUUGUCGUCAGCUCGUGUCGUGAGAUGUUGGGUUAAGUCCCGCAACGAGCGCAACCCUUGCCUUCAGUUACUACGUGAAAAACGAGGACUCUGGAGGGACUGCCGUUGAUAAGGCGGAGGAAGGUGGGGACGACGUCAAAUCAUCAUGCCCUUUAUGUUCUGGGCUACACACGUACUACAAUGGGUGAGAACAAAGGGAAGCAAGGCCGCGAGGCGGAGCAAAUCCCAAAAAGCGCCCGUAGUUCGGAUUGCAGGCUGCAACUCGCCUGCAUGAAGUCGGAAUUGCUAGUAAUCGCGGAUCAUCAUGCCGCGGUGAAUACGUUCCCGGGUCUUGUACACACCGCCCGU